UAACACGUGGAUAACCUACCUCAUAGCGGGGGAUAACUAUUGGAAACAUAGCUAAUACCGCAUAAGAGAGACUAACGCAUGUUAGUAAUUUAAAAGGGGCAAUUGCUCCACUAUGAGAUGGACCUGCGUUGUAUUAGCUAGUUGGUGAGGUAAAGGCUCACCAAGGCGACGAUACAUAGCCGACCUGAGAGGGUGAUCGGCCACACUGGGACUGAGACACGGCCCAG
rnacentral:rRNA from 1 species